rnacentral:tRNA from 1 species
GGAGUGGUAGUUCAGUUGGUUAGAAUGCCGGCCUGUCACGCCGGAGGUCGCGAGUUCGAGUCUCGUCCGCUCCGCCA